CCUUCGGUAGCUCAGUUGGAAGAGCGUCAGACUGUAAUGGAAAUCACGUGACUGCGCAUCUGGCUGUCGCUGGUUCGAUCCCGGCCCGAAGGA